UUUUUUUCUUUCCCCUUCCCUCAGCGGGGGAAGAAGGCGGGGCGAAGAAGAUGGCCUCCAAUCAGAGCCAAAGAGCGGGACACCCUUGGCUCCGCCCCCCGUGUCCCUCAGGCGCCGACUAUAAGAGCCCCACCCGGGUUUGCUCCGUGUGGAGCGGGCAGAGUUUGGAGUCGGAGCAGGUGUCUGAACCUCCAAGUGCCCACUCCACCCUCGGCACCAGGAGGUGAGGAGAAGCACCAGAAGAGGAAGGAGGAGGAGGAGAAGCCUUAAGAGGUCCUGACCAGCCCUGCACCAACUGGACCAAACCGGCCACGGAGAGCCUGGCGGCAUAGGUGACAAGCCAGAUGAAACCUCCUGUAGGGAUGCGGUCCAGGCAGCUGCCCCGACGAGGAAGAGAGGACGAGGGAGGAGCGAUGGGAGAUCGAGCGGCCCCGUGGAGACCGGGACACCCUGAGAGAAGAUGGGAGUUGACCUGUCCGUCGAAAAAAAAAAAAUAAGUAUCUCCUCAUAGACUCACCCAAAGCAACCUGGAAACAUUAGCUGCUAGUAUCGAAUGAUUUGUACCUAGAUAAGUCUCUUGCACGUUUUUCUGUUCAAGAUGAAUCGGUCUUUGGACUUUUCCUCACAGAAUAUUUCCCUAAUCCAUUUUCAGGAGAAAGAACUCUGGUCAGGAUGUUGCUUUCACGCCUUAAAAUUCAGUCAGAGGAGAGGUAGGAGGUACAGGGAGCCUUUAGUUAUGAAGAAAUAAUAAGGAAAAUAAAAAGAGAGAUUCAAUACGUAGUACUGCCAGGAAAUUUAAAAGUAGGGGAAAAAAACGGAAGCUUAUUGUGGAUUUCCAAGGGAAAUUUACCUCACAGCUCCUUAAAAAGAAUGAAUAAAAUGUGUUGAGGCGAGGCUCCCUGAUUUAGGGCAGUUCACUCUCCGGACUAUUGGGAUUGGGUUAAUACUCCAGGUGAGGUUUGGAAUAGUGCAAGAAGAGAUAAGAGCAAAUGGUUACACAUUUCCUUCUAAAGCUGUGAUUCUGAAAACAGUGGUGUCGUCUGUGCUCAAACCCCAGUUGCUAUUUUUCCAGAGACUCAACCUGCCUACUUCUGGGAGCACCCCAUCCAGCAAUCAUCCGGGCAGCUGCCGGAAUUCAAAACCUCCAAUCGGCUCGGCUCCCCCCUAGAACACUGGAAGAACCAAGACUGCGGCGAGAGAAGGCUUUCACCACGGAUCGUGCGGCAAGAGAUGGGAAAAGGGAAAACCCUCUUAGGCUCCCCUAAAGUGAUUCUCCACCCUCCCAACCCCCCUACCACUCCCUCCCGGUGCUCUGUCCUAGGACUUUGUGGCUAGGAAGGAGGAGGGGGGAAGAAGAUAGUUUUCUUUAUGCACUCCCCCUCCUGCUGUUCUCUACCUACCUAAGGUCUUCACGGCCUGAAAAGGUACUGUGGGAUUUUAAAAAGGGAGCAUUUUGCUUUAUGCAAAAAACUCUCCUGCUUAUUUAUCCACCUGAGGACUUUGAGGCCUUCAGAGAAAAUCGAUGAGGAGGGAAAGGAGAAAUCUGCUCAAUAGGCCAUUACAUCUCCUGUUCAUUACUCCCCCUGAGGCCUUUAAGGCCUUCUACUGGAGAAUGACUGCAGAGUAUCUGAGGUGCCAGAGGAGAAAUCUGCUUCAUGCAAAGAAUCUCCAGCUUUCACUUUCCUCCUGUAGGUGGUCAAGGCCUUCCCAAAAGUAUAUUUGAGGGGAAAAGGGAGAAAUUUGCUUUGUGCAAGCAACCUCCAGGUUUAACUUCUCUAUCUAAUGCCUCCUAUGCUUUAAGAGAGAAGAUUUGCUGUGCCCAAGGAGAAAUUUGCUUCAAGCAAGUAAUCUCCCAUUUUAUUUCUCUACCUGAGGUCUUCAAGGCCACAAAAGAGAAUAUCUGAGGUGAAAAAGAGGGAAUUUGCUUUACUCAAAAAGUCUCCUGCUUUCUUUUUUCUGCCCAAUGUCUUCAAGGCAAAAAUGGAGAAUCUGGCUUCUGGCACACACACCUGCUGUUCAGGACUCCACCUCAGGCCUUCAUGGCCUUUUAAUUUGAGAAUGAAUGAGAGACUAUUUGAGGGGUUAAAGGAGAAAUGUGCUUCAUGCACAGAUCUCCAGCUUGUCUUUCUCGACCUCUGGUCUUCAAGGCCAGAAGAGAGAAUAGUGAAGGUCAAAAAGGAGAAAAUUGCUUCAUGUAAACCAUCUCCAGCUCUUCUCUUUCUACCUAAGGUCUUCACGGCCUCACAAGAGUGUAUUUGAAGUGAAAGAGGAGAAAGUUAGUUUCAUGGACCCGAUCGCCAGUUUAUGUUUCUCUAAGGUCUUCAAGGCCGCGAGAGAGACCCUUUCAAGGGCCAAAGGAGAAAUCUGCUUCAUGCAAACAAUUUCCUGCUCUCAGCUUUCUAAAAAUAUUUGAAAAGGAGACUUUUGCUUCAUGCAAAAAAUUGUCCCGCUUAUUUGUUCCACCUUUUGGUCUACAAGGCCUUCCAAGAUUACAUGUGAGGUGAAAAAUGAUCCAUGGGCUUCAUGCAAACAAUCUCCAGCUUUUGUUUCGCUAAGGCCGUAAAGGCCUUAGGAGAGAAUGAUUUAGGUGAAAAGGGAGAAAUUGGCUUCGUGGAGUAGAUACAGCUCCCGUUCAAGUACUCCUCCUCAGGCCUUCAACGCUUUGGAACGAAGAAUGAGUAGAGAAUGUUGGAGGUGCAAAAAGGCGGACUUUGCUUCAUGCAAACCAUCUCCAGCCGGUAUUUCUCCAUCUGAGGUCUUCCAGGCCUUGCAAGAAAACAGUGGAGGUGAAAACGGGGAAAUGUGCCUCGUGUACACAAAUGCUAGUGUUUAUUUCUUGAAGGUCUUCAAGGCCUCCAAGGAGACUACGUGAGGGGAAAAAAGGGAGAAAUUUGCUUCCUACGAAGAGUAUCCUGCUUUCUUUCUCUAACUAAGGUCUUCAAGGCCUGAAGAGAGACUGUAUGGCAUUGGAAAAGGAGAAUUUUGCUUCAUGCAGAAACUGUCCUGCUUUAUUGGUCACCCCAAGGUCUUCAAGGCCAAAGAGCAUAUAUGAGAUGAUAAAGGGUGGAUUGGCUUCAUGCAAAGAAUCUCCAGCCUUUAUGUCUCUCUACCAGGUCUUCAAGGCCUGGAAAGAGACUAUUUUGGGUGAAAAAAAAGGAGACAUUUGUCUCAUGGAGAUAUACUUCCUGUGUCUUACUCCACCCUCAGGCCUUCAAGGCCUAUGGAUUGAGAAGGAAUGGAGACUAUCUGAGGUGCAAAAGGAGAAAUUUGCUUCACGCAAAUCUCCUCCAGCUUGGAUUUCUCUAGCUCAGGUCUUCAAGGCCAGAAAAGAGAAUCUGCUCGAGGUGGAAAAGGAGAAAUUUGGCUUCAUGCAAACCAUCUCCAGCUUUGAUUUCUCUACCCAAGGCCUUCAAGGCCAGCAAAGAGAAUAUGUGGAGGUGGAAAGGGAGAAAUUUGCUUUAUGCAUACAAUCUCCAGGUUGGAUUUCUCUAAGGUCUUCAAGACCUCAAAAGAAAAUAUUUGAAGCUUAUAAAAGGAGAAAUUUGUGUCAUGAAAACUAUCCCUUGUGUUCUCUUGUUUUCCUAAAGUCUUCAAGACUUGAAAAGAGCAUAUCAGAGGUGGCAAAGGAGAAAGGUGCUUCGUGCAAAACCAUCUCCAGCUUGGAUUUCUCUAGCUAAGGUCUUCAAGGCCAGAAAAGAGAAUCUUCUUGAGGUGGAAAAGGAGAAAACUGGCUUCCUGCAAACCACCUCCAGCUUUGAUUUCUCUACCCAAGGCCUUCAAGGCCAGCAAAGAGAAUAUGUGGAGGUGGAAAGGGAGAAAUUUGCUUCAUGCAUACAAUCUCCAGGUUGGAUUUCUCUAAGGUCUUCAAGACCUCAAAAGAAAAUAUUUGAAGCUUGUAAAAGGAGAAAUUUGCCUCAUGAAAACUCUCCCGUGCGUUCUCAUGUUUAUCUAAAGUCUUCAAGUCUUGAAAAGAGCAUAUCAGCGGGGGCAAAGGAGAAAUGUGCUUCACGCAAAACCAUCUCCAGCUUGGAUUUCUCGAGCUAAGGCCUUCAAGGCCAGAAAAGAGAAUCUUCUUGAGGUGGAAAAGGAGAAAAUUUGCUUCCUGCAAACCAUCUCCAGCUUUGAUUUCUCUACCCAAGGCCUUCAAGGCCCAAAAAGACUAUUGGAGCGAGCUUUAAAAGGAGAAAUUUGCUUCAUGCCAGCCACAUCCCCACUUGCAUUUUUCUACCUUUAUGGUCUUCAAGACCUGAAAAGGACAACUUUUCUUCAUACAAUCUCCUGCUUUUGUUUCUCUACCUAAGGGCCCAAAAAAAGGUAAUAUAUGGGGUUAAAAAGGGAAAUGUUUGCCUCCUAUAAAAACUCACCUCCUCAUUUUUCUGCCUAAGGUCUUCAAGACCUGAAGAGAAAAUAUGUGAACUAGAAAAGGAGAAAUGUGCUUCAUGCAGAAACAUCUCCUGUGCAUUAGUUCACUUCAGGCCUUCAAGGCCUUUGAGAAAGGCAAUGAAUAGAGAAUAUCUGAGGUGGAAAAGGAGAAAUUUGCUUCAUGCAAAGAAAUCUGCUCUUCUUUCUCGACCUAAGGUCUUCAGGGCCUGACAAGAGAAUAUUUGAAGGGAGAUAGGAGAAGUCUGCUUCAUGCAGAAACAUCUCCUGUUCAUUCCUCCAAUUGAGGCCUUCAAGGCCUUGUCAUAGAGAAUAUUUGAGGUGGAAAAGGAGAAAUUGGCUUCAUGCAUUUAAAAAAAAGAAAAACCUCUGUCCUUUCUCUCCCCUAAGGUCUUCAGGGCCUGCGAAGAGAAUACUGGAGGUGAGAAUGGAGAAGUCUGCUUCAUGCAGACAUGUCUCCUGUUUAUUGCUCCACUUGAGGUCUUCAACGGCCUUCCAAGAGUCUCUUUCCAGUGGGGGUAAAAGGAGAAAUUUGCUUCAUGCAAACCCCCCCAAAAACCCUUUUCUUUCUCUACCUAAGGUCUUCAGGGCCUGAAAGAGCAUAGUUGAGGGGAGAAAGGAGAAGUUUGCUUCACGCAGAAAUAUCUCCUGUUUCAUUACUCCACUUGAGGCCUUUAAGGCCUUUUCAUGGAGAGUAUCUGAGAAGACAUUUGCUUCAUGCAAACAGUCUUCUGCUCUUGGAUCUCUACCUAAGGUCUUCAAGACCUGAAAAGAGAACGUUUGUGCUUGAACAAGAAGUUUUCUUGGUGCAGUGUCUUGCUACGGUUUCUCUAGCCUCGGUCUUCAGGGCCUUGUUCCAGAGGGAACAAAGGAGGAAUUUGCUUCAUGCAGAUACACUUCUUGUGCAUUACUCCACCUCAGGCCUUCAAGGCCGUUUCAAUGAGAAUGAGAGAGAGAGAGAGACUAUCUGAGGUACAAAAGGAGGAGCCUGCUUCAUACAAACCAUCCCCAGCUUUUCCUUCUCUGUCAAAGGUCUUCAGGGCCUCCAAACAGACUACUGGAGGGGAAAAAGGAGAAAUGCGCUUCAUGCAAAAAUCUCCUGCUGAGAUUUCUUUAUCUAAGCUGUACAAGGCCAGAAAUGAGAACAUUCGCAGUGAAAAUGGAGAAAGUUGGUUCCUACGUACAAUCUGCAGCUUUUAUUUCCCUGGGGUCUUCAGGGCCUCAGAGGGAAGCAGUUGAGGCUUAAAAAGCAAGCUUAUAACAUUUGCUUCAUGAAAACCACCUCCUGCUUUACAUUUGCCUGUCUGCGGUCUUUGGGACCUGAAAAGAGAAUAUUGGAGGUGAACAAGGAGAAAUUUGCUUCAUGCAAACCACCUCCUAUUUUUAUUUCUCUCCCUAAGGUCUUCAAGACCUGGAAAGAGAAUACUUGAGGCUUAAAGGAAGAAAUUGGCUUCAUGCAAACCACCUCCUGCCUUCAUUUCUCUACUUAAGGUCUUCACGACCCAAAAAGAGAACAUCUCUGAUGAAAAGGGACAUGUUUUCUUCAUGCAAACAAUCAUCCUGCUUCUGUUUUUCUACCUCAGGGCUGGAAAAGGCCAUCUGGGGUCUUAAAAAAAAAAAAAAGGAGUGAUUUGCUUCAUGCAGAAACAGCUCCUGGGCAUUAGUCCAUUUCAGGUCUUCAAGGCCUGGGAAUCAAGAAAUGAGGAGACAAUCAAUCUCUUGGAACAAGAGAGAGAGUUGCUUCGUGUCCACUAUCUCCUGCUUUAAUUUCAUCGACCUUCAGGUCUUCAGGGCCAGAAAAGAGGGUAUUUAUUGGGGUUGAAAAAGAGAACUUUUACUUCAUUUGGACAGAUCUCCUUUUCUUUAUGCCACCCCUCACUUUUUAAGGCGUUGUAAUGGAGGGUGACUAGACACUAUCCACUACAUGCACGAGAAGUCAUUUGCUUCCCGGAGGAAGGUCUCCCACUUAUCUCUCUCCCUCUGGUUUUCCCGGUCUGGAAAGAGAGAGUACACGUGAGCUGGGAGAGGAGAGAUUUUGCUUCCGGCAAAAAUGUUACUGUUUGUUACUCCACCUAAGGCCUUCAAGGCCCUUUAGUUGAGAAUUGAGGGAGAGUUUACACGGUGGAAAAGCAGAAACGUAAUUCAGGUGAACAGUCCCCUGCUUGAAUUGGUCUACCUAAGGUCUUCAAGACCUGUAAAGAGAAUCGAUGCCAUAGACGAAGGAGCAGUUUGCCGCCUACAAAAAGUCACGUGGUCAUUUUUCUACCUAGGGUCUUCAAGACCCGAAGAGAAAAUAGGUGAAUUGGCAAAGGAGCCAAGGGCUUUGUACGGACACAUCUCCUGUGCCUUAGUCCACCUCGGGCGUUCAAGGCCUGUUAUACCGAGAGUGGCUGGAGA